ACAACAACAUUCGGACCGUCGGUCUACCGAGCAAUAUCACCCGCUCGGUGGAAGAUCUCCCCUUUGUGGUAAGCC
rnacentral:pre_miRNA from 1 species